CUGCUUUUCAUCUUUCUCUCUAAGGUUCAACUGAUCUCUUCCUGCUGAAAACCUCUCUUUUUUAUAGUCUGAACAAGGCUGUAGCUGUAAAACCUGGCAGACCCUGCAUUGUAUUCCGAGUUGAUAGGGGGAGGGAGUUUCUCCUGGAAAAUAAGGAGGAGGAAACCUCAGCCCUGGAGCAGGGACAGGCACAGACAAAGGCAGUGGCGGACAUUUUCCAAAGUACAGACCUUAGUGAAGGACACCAAGAAACGGAAGGAUAAAUAUACUCUAGAAGUAUUCAAGAGACUUUUGCUAUGAGAACGGACAUCCCCAGAUGCUUCCCUUUAAGAGUUUCCAGGGACAAUUAGUACCACCACUCAAGACAAUGUACAGACUCAUUUUUGGGGAUUACGCCAUCCUCAUUUUGCCAUCUGGUGCGAGGGGAGUACAGCAGCAUAUCCUACCCAAUUAGCUAUUAAUCUAAUCAACGGAAUUAUUCAUCUGACCGGAGAAAGCAAACGGAACAUUUGUAGCAGCUGCUGAAGCACAAGUUGUCUCCUUACCCACUGUCACCCUCACAUCUGCAGUCACCCACACCCAUCACAUAUCCCCACCCAUAUCCCCAAGUCUGCAAGACAUAUUACAAUACACCAGGAGGAAAAUAUAACCCUUCUUUAUCUAAAUGGGUAGGAGAAGCCAGUUAUAGUUGUUGUUGCAAGAAAUGUGGUUUCCAAAAAUAUGCAUAAUUAUGUGUAUUUAUGUCUCUGAAAGGAACAUUCUAGAGUAAAGAAAUGAUCUACUUCCGCAAUUUAUGUUUGAAGGGAGAUUGUACUGAAUAUGUCUCCUUUAAUAUGCUCCUAUUGAUCCAGUUUACCUGCUGGAGUGUAUAAAAUUGUUUAUAAAUAGCUCUUUCAACUUUAUUUUGUUAUUUGGAAUAGCCACUUAAGUCCCCUAUGAAAAUUUCAGUAAUGUAGUAUUGGUUAUAGAAAAGUUAUGUAAACAAGAUAUAGCAUUAGAAAUCAAUCUCACAGUGGGGGUGCGGUAUGUGAGAGUGAACCCUGUCUAUUUGAAAGAGUACUCCUGUAGCAUCUUUGAAUACAAUAAACACUUAUUAGCUGAUUGCCUGAAUAUAUUGUACCUUUAAGGGAAUUCUCUUAUUCACAAUAAAAAACAAAUUAUUAAACAUGUA